rnacentral:rRNA from 1 species
AGAUUGAACGCUGGCGGCAGGCCUAACACAUGCAAGUCGAGCGGUAGAGAGGUGCUUGCACCUCUUGAGAGCGGCGGACGGGUGAGUAAUGCCUAGGAUCUGCCUAGUGGUGGGGGAUAACGUUCGGAAACGGACGCUAAUACCGCAUACGUCCUACGGGAGAAAGCGGGGGACCUUCGGGCCUCGCGCCA